rnacentral:lncRNA from 1 species
UGGGCCUGUCCCCAAAUAGCAGCAGCAGCUUCCUGGCUUUAUUGUAGGAAGGAAUGGAAACACCCUAGGCUGUACCUGACAGCUCUCCUUGGCUCACAGGUUAGGCCUUUCAGUGCUCAGCCCAGUGAGGAAAUAUCCCAACUCACUCCCUAUUUCUCCCUUCUCAUCUUGGUCUCCCAACUGAUGAGGGCCAGUGGAGCCCAGGAAAAGAUAGGCCACAUUUCCUAGUUGGAGAGCUGAACCUCAGUAGGGUAUCUGUUCUUGCAGAGCAAAACAUCCUUCUGUGAAGUAGCAGAUGCUGGAAGAAGGCACUGCUGAUGUCACACACUUCCAGAACUUCUGUUCAUGUUCAGGUGACAACCUUAACCCAUUGAAGUAAAAAAAAAAUAAUGACACCCCAAAAGAUGCUGCCUGGCAUACAACAGAGGUUGCCCAACGGAAGCUCUUUCAACAAGUCGGUUUAAUUCACUUGAACACCUUCUCUGUGGCAGGCACUUUGCUAGUCAGGGCUAGUCUUCCUCUCUGUUAGAUUUCCCACGAGUGGUACGUGUUGAUGUUUGGAGAUCCCUGGAUGAACGGCAAACCUGCCCUCGUGGGCUUAGAUUUUUAAACAGGGUAAAACAUGUCCACAAUCUGCUGACAGUACAAGGUAG